CACGCGGAGGGAUCAUUACCGAGUUUUCAACUCCCAAACCCCUGUGAACAUACCUGAACGUUGCUUCGGCGGGACCGCCCCGGCGCCCUCAGCGGCCCGGAACCAGGCGCCCGCCGGAGGACCCAAACUCUUGCUUUAAACAGUGGCAUUCUCUGAGUCUCACAAACAAAAUAAAUCAAAACUUUCAACAACGGAUCUCUUGGCUCUGGCAUCGAUGAAGAACGCAGCGAAAUGCGAUAAGUAAUGUGAAUUGCAGAAUUCAGUGAAUCAUCGAAUCUUUGAACGCACAUUGCGCCCGCCAGUAUUCUGGCGGGCAUGCCUGUUCGAGCGUCAUUUCAACCCUCAAGCCCCCAGGGGCUUGGUGUUGGGGACCGGCCCGCCCUUCUGCGGCGGCCGCCGCCCCCGAAAUGCAGUGGCGACCUCGCCGCAGCCUCCCCUGCGUAGUAGCACAACCUCGCACCGGAGCGCGGAGACGGUCACGCCGUAAAACGCCCAACUUUCUUUAGAGUUGACCUCGGAUCAGGUAG
rnacentral:rRNA from 1 species